UACGGGGGGGGCAAGCGUUGUUCGGAAUUACUGGGCGUAAAGGGCUCGUAGGCGGCCAACUAAGUCGGAUGUGAAAUCCCCAGGCUUAACCUGGGAACUGCAUCCGAUACUGGAUGGCUUGAAUCCGGGAGAGGGAUGCAGAAUUCCAGGUGUAGCGGUGAAAUGCGUAGAUAUCUGGAGGAAUACCGGUGGCGAAGGCGGCAUUCUGGACCGACAUUGACGCUGAGGAGCGAAAGCCAGGGGAGCAAACGGG
rnacentral:rRNA from 1 species